rnacentral:rRNA from 1 species
UACGUAGGGGUCGAGCGUUGUCCGGACUUACUGGGCGUAAAGCGUGGGUAGGUGGUCGGUGAUGUGCCGUGUGAAAGCCCCGCGUUCAUCGGGGGGGAGGUCGCGGUAGACACAUUGACUCGAGGCAUACAGAGGGCAGUGGAAUUCCCGGUGUAGUGGUGAAAUGCGUAGAUAUCGGGAGGAACACCAGUGGCGCAAGCGGCUGCCUGGGUAUGACCUGACACUGAGCCACGACGGCGUGGGGAGCAAACGGG